rnacentral:rRNA from 1 species
UUAGUUGCAUGCCAUAGACCCGAAACCGGGUGACCUAUCCAUGGGCAGAGUGAAGUUGAAGUAAAAUUCAAUGGAGGCUCGAACCCGGUAGCGUUUAAAAGCUAUGGGAUGACCUGUGGAUAGGGGUGAAAAGCCAAUCGAACUCGGAGAUAGCUGGUUCUCCUCGAAAUAGCUUUAGGGCUAGCCUCAAGGAAGAUUGAAAUGGAGGUAGAGCACUGAAUGGUCUAGGGGCGCAUAGCGUUACCGAAACCUAUCAAACUCCGAAUGCCAUAUUCAUAUACCCUUGGGAGUCAGACUGUGGGGGAUAAGCUUCAUAGUCAAAAGGGAAACAGCCCAGACCAUCAGCUAAGGUCCCAAAAUUCUAAUUAAGUGGUAAAGGAUGUGGAGUUACACAGACAACCAGGAUGUUGGCUUAGAAGCAGCCACACAUUUAAAGAGUGCGUAAUAGCUCACUGGUCGAGUGAUUCUGCGCCGAAGAUUUCCGGGGCUCAAAUUAGAUACCGAAGCUAUGGAUUG